UAAAGAGACAAAAGACCACGAUCAAACUCUUUGCCAAUAAAAGGGCCAGUCUUCAAAAGAAAAGACAUAGCAUACAACAGUCAGGGGUUCACAUAUGCUUGACUUGCUCAAAAGUACCACGGC